UAAAGUGUUACAAUUCAUAUUUAAACGCAACACAUAAAUAGUGACCAAAAAGGUAUGGCUAUCACAUGAGAGAAGCUAGAAAAAAGUCAAAUGUAUACAUUUUAAACAUUUUUGUGGGACCAUGAAAAUGUGGUAUAUAGAUAGAUAUGCAUAGAUAGACCAUAGAACAAAUAAGCAAACAAAUUCAAAGGAGAUGUACAUGUAAGAUGAAUUAUGAAAAAAAAAAAGAGCCAUGGCCAGGGGCCCCAAACUUGAC
rnacentral:lncRNA from 1 species